rnacentral:lncRNA from 1 species
GAGAUGGCCAUAUAAGGUAGACUUUUUUUUUUUUUUUUUUUGAGAUGGAGGCUUGCUGUCCUCCAAAUUGGUCUCUAAUUUGAGGUUGAUCGGGGUUUAUCGAUUACAGAACAGGCUCCUCUAGAGGGAUAUGAAGCACCGCCAGGUCCUUUGAGUUUUAAGCUGUGGCUCGUAGUGUUCUGGCGAGCAGUUUUGUUGAUUUAACUGUUGAGGUUUAGGGCUAAGCAUAGUGGGGUAUCUAAUCCCAGUUUGGGUCUUAGCUAUUGUGUGUUCAGAUAUGUUAAAGCCACUUUCGUAGUUUAUUUUGUAUCAACUGGAGUUUUUUACAACUCAGGUCUCUGUUGACUGUGUGUUAACUGUUGGAUAAAUCCUUUCCUGAUUCUCACAUAGAGC